rnacentral:rRNA from 1 species
CAGCAGCCGCGGUAAAACGAAGGGGGCUAGCGUUGUUCGGAAUUACUGGGCGUAAAGCGCACGUAGGCGGAUAUUUAAGUCAGGGGUGAAAUCCCAGAGCUCAACUCUGGAACUGCCUUUGAUACUGGGUAUCUUGAGUAUGGAAGAGGUGAGUGGAAUUCCGAGUGUAGAGGUGAAAUUCAUAGAUAUUCGGAGGAACACCAGUGGCGAAGGCGGCUCACUGGUCCAUUACUGACGCUGAGGUGCGAAAGCGUGGGGAGCAAACAGGAUUAGAUACCCCAGUAGUCCCUGUCUCUUAUAC